AUGCACGCUGGCGGCGUGCCUAAUACAUGCAAGUCGAGCGAACAGAUGAGGAGCUUGCUCCUCUGACGUUAGCGGCGGACGGGUGAGUAACACGUGGAUAACCUACCUAUAAGACUGGGAUAACUUCGGGAAACCGGAGCUAAUACCGGAUAAUAUAUUGAACCGCAUGGUUCAAUAGUGAAAGACGGUUUUGCUGUCACUUAUAGAUGGAUCCGCGCCGCAUUAGCUAGUUGGUAAGGUAACGGCUUACCAAGGCAACGAUGCGUAGCCGACCUGAGAGGGUGAUCGGCCACACUGGAACUGAGACACGGUCCAGACUCCUACGGGAGGCAGCAGUAGGGAAUCUUCCGCAAUGGGCGAAAGCCUGACGGAGCAACGCCGCGUGAGUGAUGAAGGUCUUCGGAUCGUAAAACUCUGUUAUUGGGGAAGAACAAAUGUGUAAGUAACUAUGCACGUCUUGACGGUACCUAAUCAGAAAGCCACGGCUAACUACGUG
rnacentral:rRNA from 1 species